rnacentral:rRNA from 1 species
ACGGGAGGCAGCAGUGGGGAGUUUUGCGCAAUGGGGGAAACCCUGACGCAGCAACGCCGCGUGCGGGAUGAAGGCCUUCGGGUUGUAAACCGCUUUCAGCAGGGAAGAAAUUGACGGUACCUGCAGAAGAAGCCCCGGCUAACUACGUGCCAGCAGCCGCGGUAACACGUAGGGGGCAAGCGUUAUCCGGAUUCAUUGGGCGUAAAGCGCGCGCAGGCGGCCGCCUAAGCGAGACCUCUAAUCUCGGGGCUCAACCCCGAGCCGGGUUUCGAACUGGGUGGCUGGAGUAAGGUAGAGGCAGGCGGAAUUCCCGGUGUAGCGGUGAAAUGCGCAGAUAUCGGGAAGAACACCGAUGGCGAAGGCAGCCUGCUGGGCCUUAACUGACGCUGAGGCGCGAAAGCCGGGGGAGCGAACAGGAUUAGAUACCCUGGUA